ACGUCUUCGAAAGCCACGUCUCCUCCCACACCACAAACUUGCCCGUUUGGAAUUUGCAAGGGAGCACCAAACA